GACGAACGCUGGCGGCGUGCUUAACACAUGCAAGUCGAACGGAAAGGCCCUGCUUUUGUGGGGUGCUCGAGUGGCGAACGGGUGAGUAACACGUGAGUAACCUGCCCUUGACUUUGGGAUAACUUCAGGAAACUGGGGCUAAUACCGGAUAGGAGCUCCUGCUGCAUGGUGGGGGUUGGAAAGUUUCGGCGGUUGGGGAUGGACUCGCGGCUUAUCAGCUUGUUGGUGGGGUAGUGGCUUACCAAGGCUUUGACGGGUAGCCGGCCUGAGAGGGUGACCGGCCACAUUGGGACUGAGAUACGGCCCGGACUCCUACGGGAGGAAGAAGUGGGGAAUAUUGCACAAUGGGCGGAAGCCUGAUGCAGCAACGCCGCGUGCGGGAUGACGGCCUUCGGGUUGUAAACCGCUUUCGCCUGUGACGAAGCGUGAGUGACGGUAAUGGGUAAAGAAGCACCGGCUAACUACGUG
rnacentral:rRNA from 1 species